UACGUAGGGUGCAAGCGUUGUCCGGAAUUACUGGGCGUAAAGAGUUCGUAGGCGGUUUGUCGCGUCGUUUGUGAAAACCAGCAGCUCAACUGCUGGCUUGCAGGCGAUACGGGCAGACUUGAGUACUGCAGGGGAGACUGGAAUUCCUGGUGUAGCGGUGAAAUGCGCAGAUAUCAGGAGGAACACUGGUGGCGAAGGCGGGUCUCUGGGCAGUAACUGACGCUGAGGAACGAAAGCGUGGGUAGCGAACAGG
rnacentral:rRNA from 1 species